rnacentral:misc_RNA from 1 species
GAUGAAGAACGUAGCGAAAUGCGAUAAGUAAUGUGAAUUGCAGAAUUCAGUGAAUCAUCGAAUCUUUGAACGCACAUUGCGCCCCCUGGUAUUCCGGGGGGCAUGCCUUUCCGAGCGUCAUUACAACCCUCAAGCUCAGCUUGGUGUUGGGCCCCGCCGCCCCGGCGGGCCCUAAAGUCAGUGGCGGUGCCGUCCGGCUCCGAGCGUAGUAAUUCUUCUCGCUCUGGAGGUCCGGUCGUGUGCUCGCCAGCAACCCCCAAUUUUUUUCAGGUUGACCUCGGAUCAGGUAGGGAUACCCGCUGAACUUAAGCAUAUCAAUAAGCGGAGGA